AAACUGCGAUAAGUAGUGUGAAUUGCAUUUAGUGAAUCAUCGAAUCUUUGAACGCACCCUGCACUCACUGGUAUUCCGGUGAGUACGCCUGUUUCAGUAUCAUUGAAAACACACAAUCAAAACAUUUUCUUUGGUUUGAUUGGCUUUGGGUCUAUCAAAAAGUUUGGCUUGUUUCUUACAAGCCAAGCGGCCUGAAAUAUAUUGUCUGGCUAAUUGCAUCGUUGAUGAUCGCUAUUAGACUUUGGCUUUUUUAAAUGAACUGGAGGUUGAUUAACCAGUUUUAGCUUUAGUCAAAUGGUCAUUGUAAAAAAAAUCUCGAUCUUGGCUAGGUGUUUAUAGCCGAAAAUUUUUUUUUGGCUAUAACCGAAACCAAUAUAAUCACAUUUAGUUAUCGAUCUGAAAUCAGGUGGGACUACCCGCAGAACAUAAGC
rnacentral:misc_RNA from 1 species